rnacentral:lncRNA from 1 species
UAUUAGCCCUGUAUAAAUCACUACAGCCAUCAUCACCGUAUUAUGCUGCAGAUGAGGACAUCAGCUGUUUCCCUAGAUCAUCCAAUUCUGUGGGUAAUUGUUUGUUGUUUUUUGUUGGGGGCCUAAUUUUGCAGAUAUUUUCAGUUUGAUUUUGAGGACUGUGAUAACUAGAUUUUUGCACUGGAAAAUGUUAGUGGUGCUUGCCGUGAUUUUGAAUUUGGACUUACAACUCAAUGGCAUUGCUAGUUCAUUCUGGGUGAUGACUAUGGUAUUUUUUUAUGGGGUUUAUGAGUAUAGGGGUUUAAGAGUGGUUAUGAACGAAUGACUGAAACACAUUUGUGUGUGUUUCACAUCGUCUGGAAUCGUGCGCCCGGAAACCGCUUGAGAAACAGUGCCACUUCCGUGACUCGGUAUGCUUUCAACUUGUUUUUUUAGUCUUGAGCAAGACUGUAUGACAUUCACAUUACAUAAUUUGACUGAUUUUUACGUAGAAAGGGCGACAGCGCACCGCAUUAAAAGAAAUGAUUAUUCAUGUUUUCAUAACCGCUGGCCAAAUUCAAAAACGAAACUAAAAUCAAAUCAUCUUUGAGAGCAAGGUGGUAUUUCGGGGGCCCAACGCAGCUUGCGUAUUUUGUGUAUAGGGAGGGUCAGCUCUGACAGUCACGAUACAGUGUAUAGAAAAAGACAGGACGAUGAAGACGAAUAAGUUUAAACACACUUUAAUAAUUCCAUGACAGGUAAUCUCCAGUGAGGAGAGACGAAGGGUGACUUAGGAGGAGGACACAAGGAGUGGAGAAGGGAUGGUGACAGAGGAUGGCAAAGGGCUGACAGGAAGGCAGGCAUACCAGACAGGUGGAGGCUCUGGUGGAGGAUGGACUCCCGGAAGGACUAACACGCCACUGUGGAGAUGAGGAAGAUAGGAGCCACUGAGGAGCCGCUGUGUCCAAGGGCCAAAGCGGAGUCAAGGACUCAGAGGCUGGAGGUGGAGACAAGGGAUCCUCCAGCCACGAUGCCGAUGGAGACUGGCAGACCCGCGGCGAUCCCACCGCACAGAUGGUGGGCUCAGGGUGAGCAGAGGGGCUGCCAGGAAACAGGCAAUGGCAAUGGGGCAAUGGUGAAGCAGGCUGAGGAGGUGAAGGGUGCCAAUCCAUGAUUCUGUGAGUGGAAAGAUGGGGCAGAAUGCGGAAUGGAGAGUAGACGAAUGAGGUACCACCGUUGAAAAGUCAUUUUCUUCCUUUCCAGUCCGUGAGCCUGUUGUUCAUGAUGCACAUGCAUUCCCACCUGACCUGAGGUGAAUCUAUCUCUCUUAACCUGCAGCAGUCGAGAUGGAUGGUCAGUGUGGUGACUCUUGUAUUUACCUCUGAAAGCCUGUCUACAGUAUGUGCGGCUGGACUCAAAUAUCACAUUAGGAAAUGUUAAACAGUUCAUCAGUGGCUUUGUCUCUCUCCUGUGCUUUGCUUUCCCCCACUGACUUAACAGUUAAAGCAGAAAAUCUGAAAUGUCUGACUCAGUUGGCACAGCAUCAGGGGGCAAUCAGUCACUUUGUGUUACAUCAUGGAUGGCAGGUCAAGUAGAACAGACCCAAUAGCUUUACUGACUGCUGGCCAAAGUAGAGUUUCAGCCAUCCUUCACCUUGCUAGGAAGUGCUAAAAUAAACAGUCAUUCGGUUAGUCUGAAUAAUCAGUUGAGGAUAUCAAAUAUGGUUUGUAGAGUUG